rnacentral:rRNA from 1 species
UACAGAGGGGGCAAGCGUUAUUCGGAAUUACUGGGCGUAAAGCGCACGUAGGCGGCUUCUUAAGUCGGUGGUGAAAUCCUGGAGCUCAACUCCAGAACUGCCUUCGAUACUGGGAAGCUCGAGUCCGGGAGAGGUGAGUGGAACUGCGAGUGUAGAGGUGAAAUUCGUAGAUAUUCGGAAGAACACCAGUGGCGAAGGCGGCUCACUGGACCGGCAUUGACGCUGAGGUGCGAAAGCGUGGGGAGCAAACAGG